CUAAGUGAACAGGAUUGCAAUCCAAUAUGUAAUCAGACUGCAGGGAUUUCAGGCUGGUGAAUUCCUCAGAAAAGAACAGAUCAGUGUCAGAUGAUGCUAUUUAGGGCAGUCAGGGUGUGUUCUACAGUGGAGUAGCAGAUUAAGCAAUCGACCCUAUCUGGAAGGAAAAAGGAGCAGUGACUUCAAUAUCAUCACAUAGGCUGAUUUUGGUCGUUCUUUCUCAAAGGGAUACAGUUGGAAAAUUGGAGGGUAUGCAUGCCUCUGGACUACAUAGGUGUGGCAUAAUGUCUUUCUACUUCUAGAAGAAGAAGAAAGGCACUGUGAAAAAAGAACUGGAAUUUGCAUGAGAAGACUUAGAUUCAAAUUCCAUUCAGAGACAUACUAGUCAUGAUGACCUGGGAUCUCCCUAUAUUCUCACCUCCAAAAGAUUGCUCUCCUGGACAAUGGCUGUAGGAUCCAGGAUGUAAGCAGGUUAGCAAACUGUUGUUCUUCAAAGCUAUGGUGGACAGAAGAAAAAAAAAGAAAUCCAUUUGGAAUGUCACUGUAUUGGUUUUUUCCCUUCCCUGAUGUUUCAUCAUUCCUCAAAGGCUCACUUCGAAAUUUAUAAACUAUGCACAAUUGACUUCAAUAAUCACACUAAUUGUAGCUUGUUAGAAAUUCACUUCUGAAUUCAGCCACAAAUGAGAACUUUCUUCAUGUGUUACACUUUUUGAAGAACCCACUGUAAGCAGACACAUUUGGCGCUACCAGCCCUUUUUAAACAAAGUCCACACUAUAUGAUAAGGAUAACUAAUGGUUUGCAAAUCACACCGUAGCUAUUGAAGGUCUGCUGCAUAUUUGGCUUUAUGUUCUUGGAGCGAUUUUCAGCAUCAUUAAGCAGAAAGGACAUCAUUUCCCAAGUAACAAGGAAUGGAACACACAGAGAGAUUGACUUGGCAUCUUUUACAUAAACUUUCUGUUUUGAAUUUAGAAUAUUUACAUAACGCUAGAACAAAACAAUACUCUGGGAGCAUGUUUGUGCAGUCACUUCAUUCCUCUCCAACCCUAACCCCUCCCCCCAUUUAUUCUGGAAUGAAUUAUUUUUCUUCCACUCAAUUUUACAAUUUCCCUUAAUAACCUAUUGGAGUAUGAGUAAUAGAGGCAGAGGAUGAAGUUGACAAAGACAUGUAAAUUUUGUAUACUA